CAAUGAGUGUUCUGCAAAGCUGAAAAUGAAAGAGACAGAGGUGGAGUUGAUUGAAAAAUCAAUUAGAAAUCUUUCUUCAAAGCUUCAGGCAGAAGAGAAGAAAUUAGAUUCUGUCCAGAAGUUGAUUGAGGAGAGGUUGAAAGAUCUUGGUUCAAAAGAGAAACAUCUUGAUUCCAUCAAAAUGUUGAUUGAAGAAAACGCUGAAGAACUUGAAGCUAAAGAGAAACAACAUGAUGCAAUAAAGAAUUCUAUUAAUGACUGCUGUGCAGAGCUGACAUUGAAAGAGAAAGAGGUGGAGAGGAUUGAAAAAUCUAUUAUAAAGCUCUCCUCAAAGCUUCAGUUAGAAGAGAAGAAAUUACAUGUUGUCCAAAAGUAUGCAAAACGGCGGGCCAAGGAAUUUAAUUUAAAAGAAAAGGAGCUCAGUUCACUCAAAGACACAAUGAAAACAUAUUGUGUUGAUCUCGAAUUGAAAGACAGGGAAUAUAAUGCUGUUCGAGAAUCUAUUGGAGAACGGAAUGAAGAACUUAAAUUGAAGAAGGAGCUGCUGCAAUCAGUCCAAAUAUCAAUCAUAGAGUGCAGUGAGGAGCUUGAAGCUAUGAAGAAACAGCGAAGCACUGUCCAAAAAUCAAUUGCAGAAUGCUCUGAAGAGUUUGAAUCAAAAAAGAAGAGUAUUGAUUUGAUGGAAAAAUCUUUGAAAGAAUGCUCUGAUAACCUUGCAUUAAAAGAGGCAGAAUUGGAUUCAAUACAAAGAUUUCACAAAGAGCAUGAAGAAAAGAAGAAGUAUUUUGAUUCCCUGGAAAGAACAUUAGAAGAAUGCUGGGAAAAACUUCAAAUGAAAGAGAGGCAAUUUGAAGAAAGUGUGAAGAAGUUUGAACUAGAAAGAGAACAAUUUGAUUUAAUGCAAAAAUCAGUCGAAGAACGAUGUAAACAAUUGGAAUUGAAAGAGAAACAAUUGAAUGACAAUUUUCAUUCACAAUUAGCAAUUGUGCAACCUGGGAAUUUGAUGCUUAACAAUACUGGUAAUUCUCUAUCUGUGGGUUGUCAAAACUUUAUCACAAAUGAUGGACAAAAGCUGCAGUUGCUCUUGAAUGAACAUUUGAGAAAUCAUGAUUUGGUUCACAACGAAGUCUUCACGGCUAUUCAAAAGUCACCAGACCCAGGAAAGUUGGUAUUAGAUGCUAUGCAUGGGUUUUACCCCCAAGGUUUGAAGAAGGGGGAUGUGGAGUUUGAUUUGAGUGUCAUUAGGAGGAGUUGUACCACUCUGUUGGAGCAGUUGCUGAAAGUAUCCCCACAGAUUAAGCCAGAAAUAAAACAACAGGCAAUGAAGCUCGCCGGUGAGUGGAAGGCAAGGAUGAGUGCAGUGAAAGAGAACUCUCUGGAGGUGUUAGGUUUUUUGCAGCUUUUGGGUGCCUUUAAACUGUACUCUGCUUUCAGCCCUGAUGAGAUUCAAAGUCUUCUUGAUACUGUUUCUCAGCACAGGCAGGCACCUGAAUUAAGACAGGCUUUUGGAAAUGCAGAGAGUUUAUCUGGGAGCAACAAUUCAUUUUCCCAUGUAAAAGUUGAGCAAAUGGAGCAUUUGCAUGUCAGUGAUCCAGUAUGUUCUUCAUCUGCAAAUUUUCAGUCCACUGUGAUCACAGAAGGUAGUUUUCUUUUGUUCCAAAAUGAGGAAUUGGGUGAGUAUGAUUUGAAGCCCCAAGAAGUUUUAGCUGUCCUUAAGUUGUCACCAGACCCAGCAAAGUUUGUUUUGGAUGUGAUGCAAGGGUCAUAUUUCCACCACUGGAAGAAUGAGGGUGGAGGACUUGAUGCAAGUGUUUUCAGGAGUAAGGUCCUACUGUUGGAGCAGCUGAUGAAAGUCUCACCAAAAAUAAGUCCUCCAGUGAAAGAAGCAGCUAAAAAGUUGGCAGUUUCCUGGAAAGUAAAUAUAGGAUUGCAGACAGAGAAUCAAAUGGAAGUUUGGGCUUUUUUGCUUUUUUUGGCUAUAUAUGGAUUAGUGUCUUUUUUUGGUGGAGACGAGAUUUUAGGGCUUAUUGAUAUUGUUGCUCAUCUCAGACAGGCUCCUGAAAUAUGUCGGAUCCUUGGUUUCACUGCUAAGAUCUUUGGUAAGUUCCCUAACAAUCCACUCGACAUCUCUGUGUGUAUUGGCAUAUUUCAUGCAAUAUGUGUGCAUUUGUGAGUCAUAUAUGCGAUUUUGCAUGUGUAUGUUGUGUGCAUUGUCCUAUCUUCUUUGACUUAUUGUGCAUUUUUUCCAGUGUACUUGUGUUUUUGUUUUUGGGUUUCUUUUAGACGUUUAUUCUUUGCUAUUUAUUCAAAUUCUUAUAUUGCCAUUUACUUUUGAAUGUUUAACAUAGAUUUUGUUGCUUGGAAAAUUUUAGCUAUUAGAUAUUGUUCUUCCCAAUCUAAUUUGCUGUGUAUUUGUGGUGGUAUACAAAGUGGAAUAUUAGAAAUAUGGGGCUUUUAGUUAGAGAGCAUGCAUCUUGGGUUUUCUGGUUGAAUUGAUGCAGUAUAUAAAGGUUGAACCGUUGAAGGCAAAAUGGUGAGAUUGUUCUGUUUAGUGUCUCUUUUAGUUAUUAUGUGUAUGAAUUUUAGUUUUUGACAGCUAGUUUCUUGCAUUAGUUUGUCAUAAACAUGAACUAAGAGAGAUUCUUUUAAUGUGGCAAGUGAAGAAAAACUGGUACUUUGGUAAAAUUUCUUCAUAUGAAUAUAGUGCAUUCCAUGAUAUUUCUGAAAAACCAAGUAAAAGGUAUUAGGAAUUGAAAAAGAGAGCAUUUUCUAAUAGUGGUAUAAUCAGUUGGAUGGUCCUCCAUAAAACAGCUUUCCGCUCUUAUAAUUUAUGGUUCUGACACUUAUGUUUCUGUAUUGUUGUACCAUCCUUGUUCAUUGACAUGUGGGGAUCACUUGAUUAAUUAUGAUUUCGUUUUCCCUUUAUUUGUCUUUUUGUUGCUGCAAAAUGUUGAUUUCGCCAUCUGAUUUGGCAGUUAGGUGUGUGAAGCCCGCAACUUCUCUUCUUUAACAAUUUUUUAAUUUGCCAGUGUUGGUUCAGAAUCUUCUUCAAAGGAAACAACAUAUAGAGGCUGCUAGAUUUAGUUAUGCAUAUGGGCUAGUUGAAGAUUUCUCUCCAGAGGUCAUCCUGCAAAAACACGUGGAUAACAUAAAGAGGAGUGCAUACAUCUCCCUUUAUGGAAAGGAUUUGCCUGAAGCACAGGCAUGUCAAAUGCUUCUUUUGCCCUGCCAAUUUUAUUUGCUUCCUAGCCACUGAUCCAAUUGCCAUUAUACGUGCACUCAUGUUCUCAAUUAUACAUGGAAAUCAUAUUUGUUGAUUACGGAUCUUUUUGCAGGUUGAGGCCAUAGGUAAAGAAGUAGCUGCUCUUAGAACCAUAUUAGAAUGCGUAGCAGAUUACAAGCUUGAAUCCAGAUUUCCAACUCAAAAGGUCACAGAUCUCAUCGUUGAGCUGGAAAAGCAAAAGGCAAGCAUCAGAGGCUCUCUACCAGCCCCUCCUUUUGUUGUUCAACCACAAGUGCAAGGUGGAAAUAAUCACACUAUUGGCACAUCUGGCCCCAAGCCAUCGCUACAUAACCAGAACUCGAGGGAUAGAUUGCAAUUCCAGGGUAAUAACAAGCGUCCCAAGAUAAGCUUCCUAAGGUUGUAGCUUUGCUCCAGGGAAAAAUGGCUGUGGUAGCUGGGUUCUUUCUAAGUUUAUGUCAUAGGGCUUUUGUCAGUAUAUAUCUUAUGAUCUUGACUCUCAUCUAACCCUCCACUCUCCUCUUUUGCUGUAUCAGAGGCUUGUGAGUAAUCUGCUUGUUUUUGCUUCAGACUUUGUGUUAACCUAGUAGUGAAGUUCCAUCUUUGAUGGCUAACUCUUUUGUACAGAAACCAAAAGCAUCUAAAAGGAAGUAUAUUUAGCCAUGUUUUAUAGUGAAUAUUUUGUUAAUCUAAUGAUG
rnacentral:misc_RNA from 1 species